rnacentral:rRNA from 1 species
UUAAAGAGCCGCGGUAUUCUGACCGUGCGAAGGUAGCAUAAUAAUUAGUCUCCUAAUUAGAGGCUUGUAUGAAUGGUCGGACAAGAUGGAAACUGUCUCAAUACAAUAAAUAAAAUUUAAUAUUUAAGUAAAAAAGCUUAAAUAAUAUGGGGGGACGAUAAGACCCUAUAAAGCUUUAUAUUACGUUUCUUCUUUAUAAAAUAUCCGGUUGUUAACUUAUUUUAGAAAUUGUAUUAUUUUACUGGGGCGGUAAAAGUAUAAAUAAGAUUAACUGCUUUUGUCUUGCAUAACAAUUUUAAUUGGAAAUAAAUUGAUCCAUUAAUAAUGAUCACAAGAACAAGUUACUUUAGGGAUAACAGCGUAAUUCUUUUUGAGAGUUCCUAUCGAAAAAAGAGUUUGCGACCUCGAUGUUGAAUUAAGGUUACCUUAAGGUGCAGCAGUUUUA